rnacentral:lncRNA from 1 species
GAGGCUAUCCGGGGCCAUAUUAGGAAUUAGGGUUAGUUAUUUGGAGCCAUUUGAGCUUUGAAGACUAGAUUCAACAAGUUUAGGUUUUUGGCUAUGGUUUUGGUAUAAGUUUUAUAUGGUUUGGAGUUUAUAUGAAGGAAAUAUAGGCACUCAAAGUUAAGGUGUUGAUUUGGGAGCUAUUGUCACUCUUUUUGGCAUAAUGCACGCAUAUAGAAGGAAAUUG